rnacentral:rRNA from 1 species
AUGGUCGAUCCGUCGGCGAAAAUCCAACGGGCGGACCUCCCGGAAGACGUCGUCCUCGAGGUGCUCGUACGUCUCGCUAAUGCAGCCGCCCUCCACCGUUGCGCCACUGCGUGCAAGCGGUGGCGCGCCCUCGCGGCCGACCCCUCCUUCGUCCGCCGGCGCCACCACGUAAUGAUGGCCGCCGUCGGCGUAUACGAGGCCGAGUGGGCGCUCUCCAAGGUGCUGCGACGGCCAGACGUCGAUCCAAACCAGAGCCGGCUGCUGCUAGCCGCUAGGAUGGUGCAGGGCGGCCCCAUUCCGAGGCUCUUCCCGGAGCUGGAGCAGGCUGGCGGCAACGGCGUGCAGAACGAGAGGGUGGUGGCCGUCCUCAUUGAUGCCGAGGCGGGUGUUGAGAAGGUGGCCGCGGUCCGGUACAUCAACAGCAACAUGGCCUACCGGAUCUUUGGGCGUGGGUGGAGUGAAUUCGUUAGGGAGACCCGUAUCUCCCAUGGAGACCGUGUCGACCUCUACGUCGGCAGACGCGGGGCCGGCGAGCGCUGCCUACUCUUCUUCAAUAGUAAGGGCGCCCAAGGUUGA